rnacentral:misc_RNA from 1 species
AAGUCGUAACAAGGUUUCCGUAGGUGAACCUGCGGAAGGAUCAUUACCAAUCCAAAUUUAUCAACCACUGUGCACCAGCUGAACUGUACUUUGGGUGGAGGGAAGGCGUUUUUUCUCCUAUCGGGGAAAAACCGCUGGAGGGCCACCCAAGCGCUUUCGCAAGCGCGAUUUUUUAAACCCCUUUUUUGUGAAACAGUUUGUUGAAGUUAAACUUUCUCCCUGGCCUUUACGGCUCCGGGCAUGAAAACAAAUUAAAACAAACACAACUUUUAACGGUGGAUCUCUUGGCUCGU